AUUGAACGCUGGCGGCAGGCCUAACACAUGCAAGUCGAGCGAGUGGCGGACGGGUGAGUAAUGCUUGGGAAUCUGCCUGAUAGAGGGGGAUAACUACUGGAAACGGUGGCUACUACCGCAUACCAUCGGAUGAACCCAUGUGGGAUUAGGUAGUGGGUGGGGUAAAGGCUCACCUAGCCGACGAUCUCUAGCUGGUCUGAGAGGAUGACCAGCCACACUGGGACUGAGACACGGCCCAGACUCCUACGGGAGGCAGCAGUGGGGAAUAUUGCGCAAUGGGGGCAAGCCUGAAGCAGCCAUGCCGCGUGAAUGAAGAAGGCCUUAGGGUUGUAAAGUUCUUUCGGCAGGGAGGCGUUACCUACAGAAGAAGCACCGGCUAACUCCGUGCCAGCAGCCGCGGUAAUAC
rnacentral:rRNA from 1 species